rnacentral:rRNA from 1 species
GGGGGAAACCCUGACGCAGCAACGCCGCGUGUGGGAAGAAGGCCUUCGGGUCGUAAACCACUUUUACUCGGGACGAAAAAGGGAUAUCAAAUAAAUAUCCCCGAUGACGGUACCGUGAGAAUAAGCCACGGCUAACUCUGUGCCAGCAGCCGCGGUAAGACAGAGGUGGCAAGCGUUGUUCGGAAUUACUGGGCGUAAAGAGUCUGUAGGUGGUUUGUCAAGUCUUUGGUGAAAGGCCGUAGCUUAACUAUGGGAAUGCCAAAGAGACUGGCAGGCUGGAGGCUGGGAGAGGGAAGCGGAAUUUCUGGUGUAGCGGYGAAAUGCGUAGAUAUCAGAAGGAAGGCCGGUGGCGAAGGCGGCUUCCUGGAACAGUCCUGACACUGAGAGACGAAAGCGUGGGGAGCAAACAGGAUUAGAUACCCUGGUAGUCCACGCCCUAAACGAUGGGUACUAAGUGUGGAGGGGUUAAACCCUCCGUGCCGCAKCAAACGCAGUAAGUACCCCGCCUGGGGAGUACGGC